rnacentral:lncRNA from 1 species
AAAAUACAAAAAUUAGCCGGGCGUGGUGUCAGGCACCUGUAAUCCCAGCUACUCAGGAAGCAGAGGUUGCAGUGAGCUGAGAUCGGGCCAUUGCACUCCAGCCUGGGCAAAAAGAGUGAAACUCUGUCUCAAGAAAAAAAAAAAAAUGAAAUCCUACCAUACAUGACAUCCUGUGUCUGGUUUCUUUGACUUGGCUGAUGUUUGUCAGGCUCAUCCACAUUGUAGCAUGUCAGUCCUCGAUGUUUAUGAUAAGCUGAUAGCCCACUGUAUGAAUAUACCACACGAUUAUCCAUUUGUCAGUUGAUGGACAUUGGGUUGUUUCCACUUUUUGGCUAUUGUGAAUAGCACUGUUGUGAACAUUGGUGUAUGAGUGUCUGAUGACUUGUUUUCAGUUAUUUUGGGCAUAUGCCGAGGAAUGGAAUUGUAGUUUUAUACCAUAACUCCAUGUUUUGACUUUUUGAGGAACCUACAAAUUUUCCACAGUGGAUGCACCACUUUACACCCACCAGCAGCACACCAGGGUUACUGCUUCUCCAUAUCCUUGUGAACACUUGUUCCUUUCCUUUUCUUGUAUUAUAGCCAUCCUAGUGUUUUGUCAUCCUAGUGGGUAUGAAGUGGCGUGUCAUUGUGGUUUUGUUUUGCAUUUUCCUAGUCAUUAAUGACAUUGACCAUCUUUCCACAGGCUUACUGGCCAUUGGUAUACAUUCUUUGGAGAAUGUCGAUUUAAGUUCUUCACCCAUUUUUUAUUUUUUAUUUUUUAUUUUUUUUUGAGAUGGAGUUUCGCUCUUGUGCCCAGGCUGGAGUGCAGUGGUGCGAUCUUGGCUCACUGCAACCUCUGCCUCCUGGGUUCAAGCAGUUCUCCUGCCUCAGCCUCCCAAGUAGCUGGAAUUACAGGCAUCUGCCUCCACACCCAGCUAAUUUGUUUAGUAUUUUUAGUAAAGACGGGGUUUCACCAUGUUGGCCAGGCUGGUCUCAAACUCGUGACCUCAGGUGAUCUACCAGCCUCGGCCUCCCAAAGUGCUAGGAUUAACAGGCAGGAGCCAUCACACCUGGUCUCUUCCCCCAUUUUUAAAUUGUGUUGUCUGUCUUUGUUGUUGAGUUGUAG